CCUACGGGUGGCAGCAGUGAGGAAUAUUGGUCAAUGGGCGUAAGCCUGAACCAGCCAAGUCGCGUGAGGGAUGAAGGUUCUAUGGAUCGUAAACCUCUUUUAUAAGGGAAUAAAGUGUGGGACGUGUCCUAUUUUGUAUGUACCUUAUGAAUAAGGAUCGGCUAACUCCGGGCCAGCAGCCGCGGUAAUACGGUGGAUCCGAGCGUUAUCCGGAUUUAUUGGGUUUAAAGGGUGCGUAGGCGGCCUUUUAAGUCAGCGGUGAAAGUCCGUGGCUCAACCAUGGAAUUGCCGUUGAAACUGGGGGGCUUGAGUAUGUUAGAGGCAGGCGGAAGGCGUGGUGUAGCGGUGAAAUGCGUAGAUAUCACGCAGAACCCCGAUUGUGAAGGCAGCCUGCCAGGCCAUGACUGACGCUGAUGCACGAAAGCGUGGGGAUCAAACAGGAUUAGAUACCCCGGUAGUC
rnacentral:rRNA from 1 species